UACGUAGGUGGCAAGCGUUGUCCGGAUUUACUGGGCGUAAAGAGCGCGCAGGCGGUCGUGCAAGUCGCGUGUGAAAGCCCCCGGCUCAACUGGGGAGGGUCACGCAUCUGAUUCGACUCGAAGGCAGGAGAGGGUAGUGGAAUUCCCGGUGUAGUGGUGAAAUGCGUAGAUAUCGGGAGGAACACCAGUGGCGAAGGCGACUACCUGGCCUGUUCUUGACGCUGAGGCGCGAAAGCUAGGGGAGCAAACGGG
rnacentral:rRNA from 1 species